rnacentral:rRNA from 1 species
UUUGAGGAAGUAAAAGUCGUAACAAGGUUUCUGUAGGUGAACCUGCAGAAGGAUCAUUA